AUGUUUUUGGUCAAAGUUGGUGGAAACUGGAAGUUUGCAACCAAAGAUGAUGAUUUCGGUCAAAGUAGAUGUUUUUGGUCAAAGUUGAUGGAAACUGGAAGUUUGCAACCAAAGAUGAUGAUUUCGGUCAAAGUUGAUGUUUUUGGUCAAAGUUGGUGGAAACUCGAGGUUUGCGACCAAAGAUGAUGAUUUCGGUCAAAGUAGAUGUUUUUGGUCAAAGUGUGG